AAUAUAGCUUAGUUGGUAGAGUGUUUGCCUUGCACGCACAAGGCACUGGGUUCAACCCCCAGCAUU
rnacentral:tRNA from 1 species